GCGUCGGUGUUGCAAAGGUUCCUCCACACGUAACCCCGCAUAUGGUGAGAUCUGGGUUCGAAUCCCAGCUGACGCA